rnacentral:rRNA from 1 species
UUGGAGGGCAAGUCUGGUGCCAGCAGCCGCGGUAAUUCCAGCUCCAAUAGCGUAUAUUAAAGUUGUUGCAGUUAAAAAGCUCGUAGUUGAACUUCAGACCUGGCCGGGCGGUCCGCCUAACGGUGUGUACUGUCUGGCUGAGCCUUACCUCUUGGUGAGCCGGCAUGCCCUUCACUGGGUGCGUCGGGGAACCAGGACCUUUUUUUACCUGAGAAAAUUAGAGUGUUCAAAGCAGGCUUACGCCGGAAUACAUUAGCAUGGAAUAAUAAAAUAGGACG